rnacentral:rRNA from 1 species
GACGAACGCUGGCGGCGUGCUUAACACAUGCAAGUCGAGCGGUAUCCCUCUUCGGGGUACACGAGCGGCGAACGGGUGAGUAACACGUGAGCAAUCUGCCCUUCACUCUGGGAUAACCCCCGGAAACGGGAGCUAAUACCGGAUAUGACCACUACACGCAUGUGUUGGUGGUGGAAAGUUCUGGCGGUGGGGGAUGAGCUCGCGGCCUAUCAGCUUGUUGGUGGGGUAAUGGCCCACCAAGGCUUCGACGGGUAGCCGGCCUGAGAGGGUGACCGGCGACACCGGGACUGAGACACGGCCCAGACUCCUACGGGAGGCAGCAGUGGGGAAUAUUGCACAAUGGGCGCAAGCCUGAUGCAGCAACGCCGCGUGAGGGACGACGGCCUUCGGGUUGUAAACCUCUUUUAGCAGGGAAGAAGCGCAAGUGACGGUACCUGCAGAAAAAGCACCGGCUAACUACGUGCCAGCCGCCGCAGUAAGAC